rnacentral:rRNA from 1 species
AUCAGUAGCCGGACUGAGAGGUUGACCGGCCACAUUGGGACUGAGAUACGGCCCAGACUCCUACGGGAGGCAGCAGUGGGGAAUAUUGGGCAAUGGGCGCAAGCCUGACCCAGCAACGCCGCGUGAAGGAAGAAGGCUUUCGAGUUGUAAACUUCUUUUGUCAGGGACGAGUAGAAGACGGUACCUGACGAAUAAGCUACGGCUAACUACGUGCCAGCAGCCGCGGUAAU